CCCAGAGGUAUUGAUUGGUGAGUUUCAACAACUCGUGUGUUGAACCCAUAUUAAUUGCACCAACCUACGCAGAUGCGUAGGUUUUUUUU
rnacentral:sRNA from 1 species